UGCGUAGGGGGCAAGCGUUGUCCGGAUUUAUUGGGCGUAAAGAGCGUGUAGGCGGUCAGGUAGGUCCGUUGUGAAAACUCGAGGCUCAACCUCGAGACGCCGAUGGAAACCAUCUGACUAGAGUCCGGAAGAGGAGAGUGGAAUUCCUGGUGUAGCGGUGAAAUGCGCAGAUAUCAGGAAGAACACCCGUGGCUAAGGCGGCUCUCUAGUACGGUACUGACGCUGAGACGCGAAAGCGUGGGGAGCGAACAGG
rnacentral:rRNA from 1 species